rnacentral:rRNA from 1 species
CCUACGGGCGGCAGCAGUGGGGGAUAUUGCACAAUGGGGGAAACCCUGAUGCAGCGACGCCGCGUGGGUGAAGAAGCGCCUCGGCGCGUAAAGCCCUGUCAGCAGGGAAGAAAAUGACGGUACCUGAAGAAGAAGCCCCGGCUAACUCCGUGCCAGCAGCCGCGGUAAUACGUAGGGGGCAAGCGUUAUCCGGAUUUACUGGGGGUAAAGGGGGCGCAGACGGCGAUGCAAGCCAGGAGUGAAAGCCCGGGGCCCAACCCCGGGACUGCUCUUGGAACUGCGUGGCUAGAGUGCAGGAGGGGCAGGCGGAAUUCCUGGUGUAGCGGUGAAAUGCGUAGAUAUCAGGAGGAACGCCGGUGGCGAAGGCGGCCUGCUGGACUGCAACUGACGUUGAGGCCCGAAAGCGUGGGGAGCAAACAGGAUUAGAUACCCCAGUAGUC